AGUAGAGAGAGUAAUGGAAUACUGUUCGAUAUAGAACUAUAACUAUGGAAUCGCCGAUUACUAACCGAUCGCUAUGGGAUACUAUUAAUACACUGUGCACCUACUACCACAAAAGUAAUGCCAAAACUCUUAAAGUGGAAUGUUUUGAUAAUGGAUUGAGAGAAACCAAAUUUCAACACCAAUAUGUAUAUAUUUAAACUAAUACAUGCACAUAUAUUUUAACUUCAAAGCGUAGCGAGGGAUCUGUUGGUUUUACCAGGAUAAGUGUUUUU